AAGGAGUCUAACAUGUGCGCGAGUCUCCGGGUGAUCGAAACCCGUGGGCAGAAUGAAAGUAAAGGCAGCCUCGGCUGCUGAGGUGAGAAGCAUCCCAUCGCGGAUGCCGCAUCAUCGACCGACCUAUUCUACUCUUAGAAAGGUUUGAGUAAGAGCGUACCUGUUGGGACCCGAAAGAUGGUGAACUAUGCCUGAAUAGGGUGAAGCCAGCGGAAACACUGGUGGAAGCUCGUAGCGAUUCUGACGUGCAAAUCGAUCGUCGAAUUUGGGUAUAGCGGCGAAAGACUAAUCGAACCAUCUAGUAGCUGGUUCCCUCCGAAGUUUCCCUUAGGAUAGCUGGAGCUCGGAUGCAGUUUUAUCAGGUAAAGCGAAUGAUUAGAGGUCUUAGGGUCGAAAUGACCUUAACCUAUUCUCAAACUUUAAAUUGGUAAGAAGUCUGACUUGCUUAACACAUUGAAGCCAGACAUUCGAAUGCGAGUUCUUAGUGGGCCAUUUUUGGUAAGCAGAACUGGCGAUGCGGGAUGAACCGAACGCGGAGUUAAGGUGCCCAAGUCGACGCUCAUCAGACCCCACAAAAGGUGUUGGUUGAUAUUGACAGCAGGACGGUGGCCAUGGAAGUCGGAAU
rnacentral:rRNA from 1 species